UGCUUGCAGUGCAAGCAUGUAACAGGAAGAGCUGCUUACAGCAGCUCUAUAAAAGCUUUUUCUGAGGAAAAAAGAAGACUACAAGGGCUGCAGCAGAGGCACAGAUUGUGCUGGAUGUCAGUAGACAUUGCCUGCUGCAGCUCCAUCUCUCACCCAGCGGCGCUGUACACUCCCGUGCCCUGGUUGCCGGGUACCUACAGCUGGACGCUACGGUUUUCUUACAAGUUAGUCACACACGGCUGGGGCUCUCCGGGAUUGCAUGGCCGCACUUCGGGAGGAGGCCUUCGCCUCUGGGGCCCAUCGUAACAUGUUCAAGAGCUUUAAAUGAAAAGGAAUCCACCUCAGAGUUAUGGCAAGUUGAAAAGUGUUUUGACAAAAGAUGAUUCAUCAGUUUAUUAUUUAUAUUCCAUACACCCCUGAUGAAGUCUGUGUGAGACGAAACACGAGUAUUCUAUUUUGUUCUGCUGUAACCUCCGAUCUGCAUUAUUGGAAGGAGAAUAUCACAAACAAAGUAUCUGUACACUCAUGUAAAACCAGACCCCAUGUUAUGUGACAGGGGGUUGCUGGACCAGAAAGUAUUCAUGUAUAUGGCUAUUGUUGCCAUUUUUUUAUUAAUUUUAAAUAAAACCUGUAUGUUAGAACUUA